UUCUGAACCAUCAUUUCCGCUGACUGGGCCCCAGGGACUAAACAGCCUCAGUUUUUCCAGGAAGCUCCUCCGCAGGUCUGCCCAGAGGACAGGUUCGAAUCCUGAUUCAGUCCCAAAUCCCUGCUGCUUCUGUCACCACCUGAGCUGCGACCGCGGCGGACAGACAUCCCAAUUUGGGGGCAAGAUCCUGAGACCCCGCCGUCGCAGAGAGUGGCUCAAACCCUCAACAGACUCUGAUGGCAAAGCUGGCCCUGACUUGGCCCCCAGACGUACUGAACCAGGAGAACUGGUGUCUCCUCUCUGAGCCUCAGUUUCCUCCGCUGGGCAAUGGUAUCAGAAAGGGUGCUUCUCUCCCUGGGUUGCAGAGGGGACAGAAGGAACUUGAGGCGCUCAGUCAAGCUGGUUCUUUUCUCCCUAUACCACUUGGCCUGGUUGACUUCAGUGCACAGGGCUCUAAUAGUGGACUCUCAGCGUUAGGAGUGUGUGUGUGUGUGUGUGUGUGUGUGUGUGUGUGUGUGUGUGUGUGUGUACAUUCACAGGGAGGAGCUUUCCGGCCAGCUGAGCUGGGUCACAGCACAGGAAGCCAGGCCAAUUCAGCAGGGCCCUGAGCAGGCUGGGAACCCAGCACCUGUCUCGAGGAAGUCCUUGGGCAACAGCUCAAGUUCUGGCCUUGCCCUGACCGUCUAUCAGAAGGGGGAACCUGCUGCAUAUGACUGAAUAUGGAAUUUUCCCAUCAUGGUCCUAGUGUGGAUCACAGUGCCAUUUUAUGGAGAGGUAAACUGAGGCCCAGAGAGUCCAUGUCACCAGCCCACAGUACCUUGCGGGGGAGCUGGGUCUGGGCAGCUUCCAAGUCUCUGGGGUGCCAGGGCGAUGUCCGAGCCCCGCCCGCGCGCGCUGUCACUUACCUCCAGGGGUGCAGGCCCAGUGAGGGGCUGCAGGGGCUGCAGGGGCUGCUGGGACUCAGCAAGGACGGGCUCUGGCUGCUUGGAGACAGACUGCAAAGAAAGAGGCCGGGGACGGUGAACCCGGCAACGGCCCCUGCGUGUGGCCGAAUGGGGAGACGGGACCGGGGUUGUGGUUUCCUUAGGGAGAAGGGGCCUGAGGCUGGGGAUACUAGAUCUCGCGCAGGCCGCGAGGGCGGGGCCAGGCCGUUGACCCGGGAGGGCUCCCUGGAGGCGGCGGUGCGACUCGGGGCGACUUGAACAGAGACACGGAAGAAGGGUAGUUGUCAGUCUGCCCCUCUUCCCCCAAAUCUCCCCCUCCAGGUCCAAGCACUCACUCGAGGGUCAGCGCCGGGAUGUGCAGCUUGUCCCUGCGGGACUUCAUGCCGAGGCCGGGGCCGCGUCUACGCGACCGGGUACUGACGCCCCCUUCGUGGCCGCCAAGCCCUGACUGUGUCGCGAUCGGACAGACAGACAGACGCGGACACGGGGACAGCACGCCUGGCAGGCGAGACAGACGCGGAGUGGGGCCUGGGCCGCCGGGUGGUGGUGGGGGGGCGGGCUCUCUCCGUCCCGGGGCGGGGCUCGGAGCCCCGCACUUGCGCGCAGGCACAGACCCGCAGCAAAGGUCGGAUUGUGCGAGGCGGGAGCCGCGG